ACAGCUGAACCAGCUCCUGUCUCAGGAAGAUUCAGAGUCUCCCGGAUCGCUGUCAGUAUCAUGGCUACUGCUAUCUGUGCUGUGCUCCUGGGGGUAUGUACCUUCUAAUACUCAGUUAUUCAGCCUCCAUACAAUGCAGGUUUAAAGCGGCUCUGUCAUGCCGCACUUACCUUUCUUUAAUGAAUUCCUCUUCUCUUCCUCUCUCAGAAUCUGUUCUUCUUUUCUUCCUAUCUGAUCUAGUUUUCUUUAAAACAGAAUAUAAAGUAGGGAUUACUUUGUAUGUAUUCUUCACACGCUUUACCUUUUUAGACCAAAGGAGGAGUUUAACUCCGCUCCAUUUCCUGUGGUCAAAUACAUUUUCCCACAAUUCGCACUCUUCCUCCGUGAUGUCUUGUUGCUUUAUUCACCGUUCGAAACGUCCUGUCAUUUAGACAGUGCGCCGGUGAACUCACGGAAUGUCGAAAGUUUAUCCAUUCGUGUUAGGAUGCCAUUCGAUGAAUGAGGUGGUGAGUCAAUAUUUGUUAAAGUGGGGAAUUCUGAGCUUCUAGAAUCCAAUCUGCUGGGAUCAGUUUAUCAGGAGAUACUUUAUUACUAAAUACAAUGAGUUCAUUUAGUGAAGAUUCCAAUAAAUAACUGUGUAAUAAGAUCUUUAUAAUAUGAGAGGGAAUGAUUAAGCCCCAUGUUCCCUAUUGAUAUUACAUUGUGAUAUAUGGAUAUAAUGUGUGUUCAAUAUAGAUUUUCCAUUUCCAGGUAUUUAUUAAACGGAAGAUGCUGAAUCCAGAUAUUAAACCCCAGCGUGAGGAUAUUGUUACAGCUCCUCGUACGGAGCGCGUGGAAUGCAGAGUUUACCCUAUUAAGCC